CGAGGGUGUUAGACCUUAAUCAAUGUGACAACAUGACAAUUACAUGCUAUCAUUUUAAUGAUCAUAUCUCCAUACUUAAUAAAAACCUCCUUUAAACGCCACGUGUCCAUUUUAUACGCAAGCAAGAUGCCAAGUGUCAUUCUCUCCACUAAUUUAUUCACUUUUUUCCCGCCAAUUCAAUUAAUUUCUAUAGAUUUAAUACCUGAUCUGAUUCCCUACAAUUUAGCAGACUAUUUUGGUCGGUUUCCAUUUACUUUAUCUCUAUCUCUAUUCCUGCAUUCCUACAUUGAAUUUGAAUUUGAAUUUGAAUUUGAAAUGAACAUUCAAUUUCAAUUCAUAAAAAUCAACAAUUCGUAAUGAAUUAUUCAAUCCCUGAUUUUUCUCCAUUUAGUUUGCAUUCUUUAUGCAAUCAAUUCCAAAUCAUCGAUGGAUUCUUAAUUUCAAAAUAUGUAAGGCAAUCUUAUUCUAUUUUCAAUCUUAUAUGUGUGUUCGCACUAUAUUAUUACAAACAAUUCAAUGGACUAGGUUUUUAUGCCACGAUUCUCAUACUAUGGGAAGAUGAAUAUUCCUUGGAAUUCAUUUUGAUUCUUGUAACGACAUGUGGAUGUGUUCUUUGAUAAUAAGAUGAAAGUUCUUCUGUAAGGAUCGAUUUUUGAUCUACUACCCUCCUAUUUAAGUCUCGAACACUUUUCAUGGUAAUUUCUUCUCCAUCUCUAAUCUUUGGUUUUUGAUUUACUAUGUUUUUAAUUGGUUUUGAUUUUUAGGGUUUGAUGCAUUUCUUGUGGUACGUAGAUUAUCCUUCAAUGUUAGUAUGCCCGAAUUGGUAAUUUUUUAUUGCUUUUUCUGCAAUAUUAUUUUUUGGGCUUCGCUGUGCAGCAUAAAAAAUUUAUGCAUCCAUUGCCCACUCAUAUCCAUCUUUCUCGAGUCCUCUGUAGUGUAUAUUCAUCUGGUAAGGUUUUUAAUUAUGUUUUCUAAUUUGACCUAAUUAUUAGUACUUAUAUGAACUUUCUCUAUUUGGUUUUUUGCAAGAAGUUCAACAGAGGUCUAAUCCCUUACAAGGUUUUUGGUAUCCAAAAAGAGAAAGACAAUUUGGGGUUUUGACAAAGAAAAAAAAAGAGAUGUUUACUCUUAUUAUUGCAGGCUAUUAAUCAUCAUGAAAGCCUCUUGUGUAUAACUUCUUCAUUAUCCAAGAAAAGAAAAGAUACCGACAAGAAAUUGAAAUUUUGUUAGGAGUUUAAUUUGCAAGUGGAAAAAUCCCUUCAAAUUACUAUAAAAUCUAACUGAAAUAAAAAUGGUUUCAUUCGUGCACCAGAAUUGGUUUUCUAAAAAUCAAGAUUUUGGUUGUAAAUGGAGUAAAAUCAGAUGGAUCCCAAGAAAAUGUUUAACCAUGAUUUGCACUAGAGUUUUUCUAAUAUCAAACACUGCUUCUGUUAUCCUUAUUUUUUUUUUCUACUGUUGCUUUACUUUUGGAGAUGCAUGAAAGAAAAGAUAUCUCCUUGGCUUUGGAAUCCUUUGGCAAUAGGAUCGACUUGUAUUACAAAAUUGAUACUCUUUAUUGCUUAAAAAAAAUAGGGAUGCAUGUAUGUGUACUUUUAUAUGUAUAUAUCCUGGUUUCUAAAAAUUAAUCUUAAAUUAUCGUAUUGUGCAGGGUAUCACUUCCUAAUUAUUGAGGGGUUUCAUCAUUUACAACCAAAAACUAAAUCUAACCUUUUCACAAAACAUUCUCAUGGAAUAAGCCACCCAUGGUAGACCCGAUAAAUACAACAUCCUAUAGCAGUAGCAAACACAUUUAAGUAGAUUGCUUCUGUUGUUUCUACCAUAUGCUUAGAAUCUUGUCAUUUUUGUGUAUCACUGGAUUGUGAUUCAAGAUGUCUCUUCUCUCAAGAAUCUUCCAUUUGUUUUUUUGAACAAUGAAGUAUUGCUGUUUUUUCUUAUAAAUGUUUUUUUUCUUAUUUAUGCAUUUUACUUUGAAGAUACAAUGCCAUAAUGCAAUAAACUGUCUAUGCUUGUACAUAUGGUUUUGUGUAAAGAAAUAAGAAUGUAUGUUGUAGAGAAUAAAACAUGCAUACUGAAGGGCGCCUUGCCGCCUUGCAUAUAUAGAAAAGUAUAGAUCCUUGUAUA